AUGUCAUUCAAUUUGAUAUAAACAAUCUGUUUCUUUAAGUAUUCAUUUUGGGGGUAUAGUUUUCCUUUAAGAAGGUCUGAGUUGUGGAAAUCAAUUUGAUGAUCUUCUCUUGAGUUUAGGACACUUUUUGUGAGUUGAACAAGAGUCCCAGAAACAGAGUUGUCUGGCAGGGUAUUAGACAGCUCUUGUUGGUGUUGAGAAUCCACCCAUGUUGAGUGAGUACUUGUAUGCACGUGCAUACGUGUCCCUGGCUGAUUGUACCUCUGAUGGUGCUGUUAUCAAUAGGUUGUCUAAACAAGGAAUGACGUAUAUUCCCAGGGAUCUGAGGUAGGCCACAAUUGGUGCUAGAAUACGUGGUGCAGUACAAAGGCCAAAGGGCAAUGAAGUGAAUUGGUAAUGUUGGUCGUUAAUGGCAAACCGGAGGUACUGUCUGGACACCGGGUGUAUUGGGAUGUGGAGGUAGGCUUCUUGUAAAUCUAUUGACGUCAUGAAUAUGUUGGGUUCCAUGGAUGCUAUCAUUGAUUUUAUGGACUCCAUCUUGAAUUUUUUGUUGUGAACCAUGCUGUUCAGUGGUUUCAGAUUUAGGAUGGGUCUGAAGGUUCCCUCUUUUUUUUGGUACUAGAAAGAGGUUGGAGUAGACAGCAGUUUGAGUUUAGAAGCAGUGUCACCAGUCCAGUGGCAAAGCCAGAGUGCACGUCUUUCUACUGUGGUAUUAGAAGUUGCCUUUGCUGCCAGCUUGACUACUUCAAUGGCUGCCGCCCCUAGGAAUGCCAGUGCUAUUGCUAAUUUGUCUACCUGCAACUGAAGCUGUUGUUGUGAGGAUGGUGGUUGGUGUGCUAAUUCUAGGGCCCAGUGUCUAACUGUAUGGGCUAAACCCGCUGAAGCAACUGCAGGGCGUAAUGUGGCUGCAGUCUGAAUAUAAGCCUUCUUUAAUGUUGAUUCCAUGCGUCGGUCUAAAGGGUCCUUGAAUGCGGCCUCUUCUGCCGGUAGUGCAGUCUGCCUGGAAAGGUGAGCCACCUCUGAAUCAACUUUGGGAGCCCUAUCCCCUUUCUUCUCGUAUUCUUCUGGUACUGGGAAGGUGUUGAAGAAUCUCUGUGUGAUGGCAAUGCAUCUAUCUGGGUGGCUCCAUUCAGCCGACAGCUUGGGUAAUUGACUUAAACACUGGAAAUGUUGAUUUGGACUUUUUGUGUCCCCCUAGGAGUUUAUCUGUACUGUUUCAUCCUUGAUUUCAAGUGUCUCUAACAUCUUUUGAGACUUCUGGGUUUACUAGUGAUUGUUUCUCUUCCUCAGAGUCACUGUCUGAUGUGGUAUUUGAAUUAUCAGAUUUGUCUGAUGGUAGCUGAGGAAGUAUCUCCUCCUCUGAGUCAGAAACCAACCCAUCCUCUGAGUCUGAUGAAUCAGAAGGGAUAGUUGUUUUACGCUUUCGCGGUUCUCUGGAUGUGGAUGGCGGAAUCUUAUUCAUAAUCCAUUGGAUAAAAUCUACAAAUUGAUGUGGUGUUGGUGGCCGUGACUGGGGUACAGGACUAGGGUCCCGUAAGGUGGAAGUUAGAACGUCAGUGAUCCCUGGUGGUAAAAUUGAUGUAUAUAGAGUGAUAGCUGCAGGUGGAGUGAUACCACGAGUGCUGGUCCCUGGGGCAGGUGUGUUUGGAGCUGAGUCUACCCCAUCAGGUUGCUGAAGGGGGUGAGGAGAUAAGAUUGGUGCUUCCAAGGAAUCUGAACUCCUAGUGGUUCUGCAGUCAGAACAAUAGUUCUUUUCAGCUUUUCUCAGGGAGUGUCUACAUUUUCUGCAUUUUGGCAACUUGUCUGUUUUUUUUUUUUUUUAAAAAAAACCCUUGGCUCCCUUUUCUUGACUGUGUGUAUCUCUGCCCUUAAUUCAGUAAGAUAAUCUGCCCUCUCCAUGAUCUUGUGCGGAAAAGGGUUAAAAACAGUGUAACUCGCAGUGCCCGCUGAAUCCUGAGAAAUUAUGCCUGUGAAACUGGCCUCACGUUGCUUCUUCUGUAUGGAUAUGCUCUUGUGCGGCUAAAACGAAUGACCGCGUUACUGAUCGCAGUUAGUGUAGUGCCGCGAGUGACAUAAGUGCGUUAUCUACGUGGUCUCUAGUUUCAGAGUGAGUUUAGUUAGACGCACCGCCCAAUGACGUCAGUGCAGCUUUACCCGGCUCGCGCCAGGAACUAUAUCCCGGUACACUGGGGAAGAGUAUUUACAGCUGCCUGAAAUAUGGAUACCGUGCAGAAAGUACCCGCUUGUAUCCCUUACCUAGUAAGUCUCCCUUCAGAGUGUCAUGGGAAUCUACCCGUGUUGAGUACGGUGGAGGGAGAUAAUGCCAUUUUUACCCUGCUCUAGGCAGCAUCAGCGUGCCCCAGUAGUAAAUAGACUUGCAUUUUCCUCUUUCUGCUACGUGAACAGCCCAGCGUGUUCAGCAGAAAAUGGGCUCUAAUUAUGUGCCACAGUCUAGACAGCUCUGCGUGUCUAUAUAUUUGCCCAAGUGUAAGUGUCAAUUUUGCUCCUGUCACACUCCUAUGGAUAGCUCAGCAUAUCCUGAGUGUAGGCACUAGCUCCUCCUGUAAAGAAAAGUAAAUAAAAGAAAAUAAUAAAUGACAAAAGAACAAAAACAUUUUUUUAAACUGUCCUCCACCUCCGAAGCAAGACAAAAAACUGGGGGAAGAUGGUGGAGCCAACUCGUAUAUCAUGGAGGAGGAGGAGGAGCCAAGAGGCAUCAAUCUUUCUGUCCUGCCUCCAGAGGUGAAUCAAGACAAAACCCUGACGUCUGCACUGACAGGAGGGCCGACUAGAGAAAGUCAUUAUUUUUAUAGGCAAUCAGUGCUGUGUGUAAGUUCCAAACUAAAACCCCAGCAUGCAACAUCGGCUCUCCAGCUAUACACCCCUGUAGCCUUUUAGAAGUGAGGAAUUGCACUUUAAUCCCCAUGAGAGCAGGAGCUUUCAAACUGAUGGAAACCACAACUCCCAGAAUUCCACAUCAACUUGCAGGUGAGGGAGAAUGCUAGGAGUAGAAUAGGUGGAGGGCCAUGCGUUUGAUACCACUGCUGCCUGUGUACCUGGCAGUGGGUACCAGAGUGGAUCACAGUAGCGUUUUUACAUGAUUGCAGGGUUGGACUGGAGCAGGGCCCCCCCCCGCAUACCGUGCAUCUGUUUAUUUGGGGCUCGGCCGAUUAGGGGAACAGGUCUGGGCAGGAGAAGGCCCAUGAGGGCUGGGGCCCAGUCCGACCCUGCAAGGUUGACCAUUAUAAUAAAUCAUCAGUCAUCAAAGGGGAAAUAUGAAUACACAAUAUGUGACUUUUUGGCCCAAAAUGUAUCUGUACUAUGUAAAGUUCCAGUGGAGACCUAGUUGGGUAACAAUUUGUUUCUGCCUUAACAUUCUAGCAUUUAUGUACAUGGUUCCCUGACUACAGAUAGGAUGCAGGUCUUUAGCAAUGUAAAGAGUUAUCAGCAACUCCACCUCAGACUUCGUCACUUAGGGUAAUGUUCCAAUUGCUGUUUGUUUUACUAUAGACUCCUGGAAGCUUAGUUUCAGCAUUAGUUAAGGUGGAUCUCUGUGACUACACUUUUUUACUUGGAACUAUGGCUGAAUAUUUUAACAUAUAUAACGUUGGUAGUAGCUAAGCUGGCAUUGAGAAGACGUUGGGCUCUAAAUAUCCUGUGCAAUCCACAGUUUACCAGAUAUUCAUCACGUGUAUAGCGAGUUCCCUAUAACCUGAGUUCUGUGCUGCCCAAAGAAUGAAGCAAAUUAAAGAUCGGAUGGUAAAGGGGCCUCUGCAGAUCUUAACAUUUGCUGGAAAAUGUCACAUUUAUACCUAAAGAAGUGAUGCAGAGAGACAUUGUAUCUGCCCCAUUGGCCCCUAGAGUUAGAAAGUGGCUGAACAGAAAAUGGUUCAUUUGCACCAUAUUCUGUAUUUGUGCAGCUAUUGGGGCCAGUUUGUCUUCCAUAAUUUACUUUAAAUGGUUCUGAUUUUGUCAUUUUAACUAAUACGUGAGCUCUCUGUAACCCAGGUGGCCAAGGGACAAAUAUGUAACUCAAAUAUUAUAUAAAUAUAUUCCCCCAAACCACAAUCUUACGACUAGAGGCCCAGUAUCUCAGUAUGGAAACCACAAGUGCUAAAGUAAUUCAAGAAACUAGUCAUUUUAGGAAUUGUCCAAAUACCAAAUUUCUGUCCCAAAUAUGAGUAAAUCUGUCCAAGAAAAUACCUUUUUUAAAGGCUUUUUAAAACUUCACUGCUUGGUGCUUUGUAUUUGAAAAUCGUGUCCCAAAUUUGAGUAAUUAAACUCCUAUAACUUUGCACAAUCUGAAAAUAUAUGUGUUGGCUUCAGUUACCCAAGGCAUUAUAAGUUGCACAACGGAGUCGCUACUCUGCAUUUUUCAGCAGGUAAAGUGACGGCUUCUGUUUGGCGAGUCCCUGGUGAAACAGUUCAGGAGGCCUGUAGAGGGAGCCUGGCAUUGUCUUUAUUGUGUUUUAUUCUUUUUUAACUUGGAAAACAGCUUCUAAAACAAAUUCUAGAUAUAGCAGCCAAUGAAGUAAUAUCCUAAACAUAAAAUAUACUCAAGUUAUAUAAUGAGGAGCCCUAUAUUUAUCUGUCAAGGGGCAUUCUCAGCAACACAAAGGUAAGAUUUAGGCUGGUAUAGGUUUAGUAUACAAUAUCAUGUAAUAUCUCCACAUCAGACAGAUUUUAUGGAUGGUGAAGACCAGAGCAGCUGUACGAGCUUCACAGGACUCCCCUACAACACUGUAAUAUUCUGUAACUUAUACAAAUUUAGGAUAAUGUUAACAGCAAUGACACAAUACUUUGUCUUGCCUUCCGGAUAGCUCUUUAUUCCAUGUUGUUUAUGCUUUUUUUUUUUGGUAUUUUUCUUCCUUUAAUGAAUUUACUUAUUUUUUUGCCUGUGCCUCACAACAUUACUCAGAAAUGACAGAUGGUCAUCUGCAUUUUACAUUCAUUUCACGGAUAUGAGCAAGGAUUCCAGGUACCCAGCAUUUAUGAUGGGAAAACAUUAAAAAAAAUAUAUAUAUUUUGUUCACCGAACCAGAGGUUGAUCUAUAGUGAAAGUCCCCCAAACCUUUUGCAGAACAUACCAAGGAUAUAACGGUCAUGAGUUCAACAAAAGUUCAUGUUGGGUGAACUGAAGUGCCAUAGAUUGAACAUGAUAUGAGCAGCUUUAAAGGGAAAGAAGAGGGGUUUUGUUAUGUCAAGAGUCAUCACUAAACUUCUCAGCAGUUUCAAGUACCUGGGAAAGGGGACCAAAGAUUUAUCCAGCAGCUCUAACCAGUCUUUGGAUAUGGGAUGCGGAUUUCCCAGCAAUGUAGUUCUACCCAAGAGUUACUUAUGGCAAGAUAACUUCUUCUAAAAGACUUAUCAUGGAUAAAUUCCAGCACUGGAGGGUUAGUUAGAAGUGCUUGGUUAAGUGGUUUUGACACAGAAAAUGAAGGCAAUCAGGAGGGUAUCGGGAGUGGAGGAGGUUGUGGCACAUCAAGGAUGAACAACUGGUUAGACAAGGCUUAAUUCUUGCUUACCCUCAACCUCAUGUGUGUCUUUAAUGAAGGAAGUCCGGGCCCUUCUGAAGAGUAGCAACCAAGGAUUCUCUACAAUUUGGCACCCUAAAUGGAGCAUUUUCAUUCAGUUUACAUAUGUACCACCCAAGGGGAUAAAGAAAGAAAUUCCUAAAGGAGUCAGGAAAGUGCUGAACUAGUUCUUUAACCACAUUUGUUUCUUAAUGCCCAACAAAGAGCUAGGUUAUAAACAGGAAUCCCAGUGUAAGUGCAGAUCAUGGCUGUCCAAGAAAUCCGUGGAAAAGACACUGGGGGUAAAUGUGCUAAGUGGAGUCAGAUUCAUAGCUGGAGGCUCAGACAGCUCAAGCCAGUCCAUACCAUCCAAAGGAGGCUCUGAAAUGUCUAAUCCUAGGGAGUUUCCUAUAGGGGAGAAGUGCAGAUCGGAUGUGUCCAUAGGGGAGGGUGGGUGAUCUAGGAUGGCCAAGCUGCUCAGCAUCUGACUAUGGAGGUCAUCAAUAAGAGGCAUAGAAGAUGGACCAUCUUGGUGCCCCCGUAGCAGUGGUGUGCCCGUUGAGCUCUCCAGGAAAUCCUCCAGCCUUCCUAGUGCAGAGUGAAUGGGUGAAGGGGGUGGGGCCAUUUCAACCUGUGGCACCAUUUGUGCAGCUUGGUGACUUGGAGAUGUCUGUUUAAGACAUGGCACCAGAUAAUCUUUGAAUUCUGAAGGGAUGUCUGUCAAAAAUGUACAAAUAAACAGUUUAUUGGAAGGUU